UACAGAGGGUGCGAGCGUUGUCCGGAAUCACUGGGCGUAAAGGGCGCGUAGGCGGCUUGAUAAGGUUGCGGUGAAAGCCCGGGGCUCAACCCCGGGUCGGCCGUGGCAACUGUCGAGCUGGAGCACUGUAGAGGCAGGUGGAAUUCCGGGUGUAGCGGUGGAAUGCGUAGAGAUCCGGAAGAACACCGGUGGCGAAGGCGGCCUGCUGGGCAGUGGCUGACGCUGAGGAGCGAAAGUGUAGGGAGCGAACAGG
rnacentral:rRNA from 1 species